rnacentral:misc_RNA from 1 species
GAUUGGUCGAAAGACCUUAUCAGAUUCUACCACCUCUGUGAACCGUUGACCUCCGGGUUAAUAAUCAAACAUCAGUGUAACGAACGUAAGAGUAUCUUAAUUAAACAAAACUUUUAACAACGGAUCUCUUGGCUCUCGCAUCGAUGAAGAACGCAGCGAAAUGCGAUAAGUAAUGUGAAUUGCAGAAUUCAGUGAAUCAUCGAAUCUUUGAACGCACCUUGCGCCUUUUGGUAUUCCGAAAGGCAUGCCUGUUUCAGUGUCAUGAAAUCUCAAUCUAAUAUGUUUUCUGAACAUGUUAGGCUUGGACUUGGGUGUCUGCCAGCAAUGGCUCACCUCAAAUGACUUAGUGGAACAUCCCACAUCAGUGUUAGACGUAAUAAGU